AAAAAAGCACCAGUGUCAGUUGGUCUGGGUGGCAGUUGCUGACAGGGCUGGCAGUUGCAGGGAAGCUGGCUGCUGGGCAUAAGAAUCCAUAAGUAAGAACAAUUGCUUUUGCAGAGUUCCUGGCAGUUUCCCACCUUGCCUACCCUGCUUAUCAAAAGGAAAUUUGAAGCUGUCCUAGAUACUACAAGCCUAUGAGGAAUUCAAACACAUCAAUGGUAUCAAAUCUUUAUACCUCUAUUAGAUUUUAGGUUCAAUAUGAACAGUGUCUUUAUUGAAUAUCUCUUUGUAUUCCUAGUGUUGCCCUUAUUCUUUAUAUUUAAUAACAAAUGCUCACUAAAUUGAAUUGGAUAUAUAAAAUUAGGGAGGCUCAGAUAAUAUCUAAAAUCUUUAUAAUUUUAAAUAUCCUUUGAUUCUAGUCUGAUCUUUCUAUUACUGGUGUAUCUCACUUAUGUAUAUAAGAAUGAUAAGUUGGCAAGAACACACUGUGUUCAUUUGCUAAAACCUAAAAGGAGAAAAGAGGUUAAUGUGACUCCUCUCUAGAGAGUGAGAAGAAAAAUAAAACAGAGGGGAAAAUCUAUAGCAAUGGGUGGUGGAAUAAACACAGGCCUCAACUAGAAAGUGACCAGAAAGAGCUAAAAAGAUAUUUCAGUGAAUGCUACCACCUGCGAUCCCAAAAAAGAUAGGCAAGGAAGGCAGAAAUAAAAGAAAAUGGGCUGACGGAGUAUUCUGUAGUUAAAAAAAAUAUACUGGGAGCUAUCAGAACAAAUGAAGUAAUUAUCCAUUCACUCAAGUUUCAAGUAAAUCAAGAAACUGAGGAUUUAAAGGAAUAAAGGUGAAUCCUUCUCUCACAGUCUAUGAAUUUCUAUUUUCUUUUUGUUCUCUAAAAUGCUAUUUCUUAUAAUAGUUCAUUUGCUAAUCAAGUUUGAUAGAACAUUAACAACUUAAAAAGGUUUUUAUUUUCCAAAUGGCUUUAUUUCAUUUAGAUUUCUACCUCAAAUAAUUCAUUCAACAUAUGAAUAAUAGAGAAGGAAGUUGAUGAUAGGGACAGAAGAGGAAGAAAUUAAUCCUUUCCAGUUCACCUAGAAAUUAAUUUUGAAUUAUAGGUAUGGACAAUCUGUAGAAAUACUGGACUAAUCCAAUGAAUAUUUUUUCAUGCAAUUUAUAUGUUAUAAAUAAUUCAUAAGACAUAGAUAUCCAUUUUACAUAAAAGAAAGAUUUUUUGCCCUUAGGGGAAAAGUGAUGGAAAUUUUAAGUAGCAAGUUCACAGUCAUAAAUAUGAUAGGACCAAGUUUAGAACCAAUUCCAAUGUUACUCCCUCUUCUCUAAAAAUGUUCCAUUUUACAAUAUGCUAAGAGCUUAAGAUAUGUCAUGUAUAAACUGUAAACACUACAUUUUCCUAUCAUACUGUUACUUAAGAAGCCAAUGCCAAAGGUCUGAGAAGAUCCUAUCCACAGACUAAUAAUUUCGUUUUGAAUCACAGUGUUUUAUGAGAAGAAGCACCAAGCCCUUCAUAUACUCUACUAGUGAAAAAGAAAUUCAAUUUGCCCUUAAGCUUCCUUUCUGGAAGGAGGUGGACUAUGUCCUAUGUAAAAAAGAACAGAAAAUCCUUUCUUUAAAGCAAGUUCCCAAUUUUAGUUUUUUUUUUGUCUUUUAAAAAUUUGGCUUUAAAAAAUUUGUAUUUUAUUAAUUAUUCCAUUGAUGAAUCCCUAAUGAUGGCCUGAGGCUUCCUAAUGAAAACCAUGCCACAGACUUAGCAAUAGCACUAUUGAUCUGGAACAAUGACAUGGCAAUAAUCAGCUACAGUGGUAUUUCAAAGAAUGAUCCUUUGGGGCAGGAAGAGGGAAAGAAAAAUCUUUAUAACUAAAGUCAGUCCUGUUAAAAAUGAAGAUAAUACUUUAUAAGUCACAUGAAGUCAUAUUUAAGUCACAUAAAGGAUGAUACUUUCCAUUUCCCUUCAGCAUCCCUGCUCUCACCUCUCCAAAUCAUUUCUCUCUCCAUCACUUUUGAUAUACCCCAAUUUCUCCUAUCUCUAGCAUGCCCUCUUUAUUGUUAAAAAAAAAAAAAACUUAACGGUCAUUUCUACUUGUUAAUUGAUUGACAUUAGUAUGACUAAUCAGUGUAAUACUUUAUUUUAGUUCAUACUUGAUGAUAUUUUGUAUAGUCAAACCUCUUCUGACUGGCUGGCAACUUAAUUUCUUUACUUCUUAAAUACUUUCUAUCACUGUUAAUGGCAUCUCUCCCUAAGGUGUUUUUCACUGGGACAGAGCCUUUUCAUUAAUAGAAGUAUUAUUAUGUUAUUAACUUCUUUGGGAAAGAAGAAUUUCAUACUAGUUUCUUUAGUACUUCUUCAUAUUUUUUAAUGGCAGAAAAAUAUUCAUUCCCAACAGUGAAGUGAAAACUUCCAUCACAGGUGGUUUCUUAAGGGAGAACUUCCUAAUCUGGGAGUGAAGCCAAACAUUUUAUACAAAAUCUACAUUAUUAAAUAGGAUUCCUGCCUUUUAAUAGCCAGACCUCCUAUGAAAGAAAACUUCAAUCAUUUACUUCAUUCACUAUUAUGCUCAUGUUUGGAUACAUUUAUGAAAAAAGCCCUUAUUAACCAAGAAUAGAAACUUCCUCUCUGUUUAUUCAAAAUUAGAAAUCCUCAAAUUAAUUUAGCAGUAAGAAAAAUCUUUUCAUGUAUUUAUUAAGACUCACUAUGCCAUCAGGAAUGACUUGUUUUGUGGCUGUAAUUCAUCCAAGAAAGGAAUAGUGAAUUAUGAACUGGACCAGAAAUCAUGAAGACCUGGGUUCCAGUCUGUCCUCUAAAGCAUUUUGGUUUGGGGGGCAAAUAGUUUACCCUCGGUAUCCCAGACUAGAAAUUAUAGAGAUAAUGAUAAUUUGCAAUAGCAUAAGAAAUUAAGAUUUCCUUACACAAAUGAAAUCACACAAAAAUCAAAACAAAGCAAAAACAAGGAAAAAAGCAACUUUAAUGGCAAAAGAUGGGAAAAGGGACACAACAAAGAGCUAAUAAUCCACUUGUUGGUAUCCAGCCUAACCCAAGAUAGAAGGAAAAAUUCACAAUCUAAACUAAAAAUUUUAACCUGUAGUUCAUCAUAUUAAAAAUAAAAUACUCUAACCAAAAUGAAUAGGUGAAAAGUUCUACUACUUUGAAUUUUACACUGAAAAGGAUCCUGUAAUGAUAAUAUCAAUUGACUAUAAUUUUGUGAUGAGAUGGCUGAAACUAGUGUUUCUGCCAUUAUAGGUUUAGAAAGGCACAGUGAAAAGAAAGCUAGAUAUGCAGUUAGCGGACCCACAUUUGAAUAUUAGGACUACCACUUACAAUAUGGUUGACCUUGAACAAGUCACUUAACAAGUCUCUAGGUUUCAGUUUUCCCAAGUAUUAAAUGAGAAAUAUGGACUAGAUGAUCUCAAAUAUUCCUUCCACCUCUAAAGUUGUUCCAAUGAUUUAAACAGAUGUCUUAAAAGCACUUUAUAUAAAUGAUCUCAUUUGACCCUCACCACAACUCUUAAAAGAGAAAGUUUUAUUUUGUUGGUUUUUUAAACUUUUAUUUAUUCUGUCCCACCACACUUUAAAAAUAUAUAUAAGAAUCCCGGAGUUCAGAAAAGUUGAAUGAUUUUCUUAUAGCUAGAAAGGUUCAGAAGAGACAUUUGA